rnacentral:rRNA from 1 species
GACGAACGCUGGCGGCGUGCUUAACACAUGCAAGUCGAACGGAAAGGCCCUGCUUUUGUGGGGUGCUCGAGUGGCGAACGGGUGAGUAACACGUGAGUAACCUGCCCUUGACUUUGGGAUAACUUCAGGAAACUGGGGCUAAUACCGGAUAGGAGCUCCUGCUGCAUGGUGGGGGUUGGAAAGUUUCGGCGGUUGGGGAUGGACUCGCGGCUUAUCAGCUUGUUGGUGAGGUAGUGGCUUACCAAGUCUUUGACGGGUAGCCGGCCUAAGAGGGUGACCGGCCACAUUGGGACUAAGAUAGGGACCAGACUGCUACGGGAGGCAGCGGUCGGGAAUAUUGCACAGUGGGCGGAAGCCUGAUACAGCAACGCCGCGUGCGGGAUGACGGCCUUCGGGUUGUAAACCGCUUUCGCCUGUGACGAAGCGUGAGUGACGGUAAUGGGUAAAGAAGCACCGGCUAACUACGUG